CUCACUUUGGUACUUAAAUUACAGGGGUGUUUUUAUACCCCCUUAACAUGUUUAAUGUGAAUUAUUUUCAAUCCUUUGAACGCCAGUCCAGUUGAACUGACAUUGUUACACAUGCGCGUUUUCAGUGGUCCACGUCACUAAGGGUGUAAAAAAUAUCUUACUCAUUCCCAAAAUACAAUCCGACCCACUUAUAAAAAAAUAUCCCUAAAUCUCUAAGCCCCGUUCCCAAAAUACAACCUGAUCCACUUAUAAACAAAUAUCCCUAAAUUCCUAAGCCCGCGAUUCUCAUUCGCUUCACUUCUCUCAAAUCUACAAGACCGAAUCUGAAGAAAUUUCUUUCGUUAGUGUGAAUGAGUUGUUGAUUUUAGGGGUUUCGUGAAAGAAACAAAGGAUUGCAUGAAGAAACAAAGUUACCAGUUUAAUGAUGGAUGUGUACAUUACCUUCAUGUUUUACCAUGGUGGAAAACUUCAGCAAAAACCUCGUAUUAAGAAUGAAGGAGGUAUUGUCACCGAUUGUUUUGACGUAGAUGUUGAUAAAUUGUCCUACUUUCAAUUUGUAGAUAUAGUUAAAGAAAUUUGGUAUAACUGUGCUGCUAGUGUUCUUUAUAUUAAACCACCUAAAUGUCGACUGUUGUUGAAGUUAAAUAUGAUAGGGAUAUUAUGGGUAUUAUAAUUAAAUUAAAAAAUGGAGAUAUUAUUGAAACUUUGUAUGACUCAUUUAGUUAAAGAAGAUGUUGCGGCCCCACCAACAAUUGGAUAUCUAAAUGAUGUGGGUCGGGUGGAUGGGGAAUCCAAUGCUACUUUUAAUAAGGAAUCUAGUCAUACUUUUGAGGGUAGUGAAGGUUUAGGAUUUGAAGAGGCUGCACAACAUGCACAACUAGAAGAACCUAUUGUGGGUGAAGAGUUGGGUAGGACUUCUGCUAAUGCUGGAGAGGAAUUGGGUAGGGCUUCUGCUAGUGUUGGAUAGGACUUGGGUAGGGAUUCUGUAAGUAUGGAGAUGACUUGCAUGAUACUUCUUCUUCUGCUGGGGUUUGAUUGGGAAAGUGAAACAAAAGUAAGUGAUAAUUCAGAAAAUGCAAAUUUGUCUGAUGAAAGAGAAGAUGAGUAUGGUAGUGAUGUUCAUGAGGAGGUUAUAAAUCUUAGGAAAGAGAAAAAAGCUGCUUAAUAAAAAAGAGAAAAAAAGGCCUUAGAAGAUCUGAAGGAGUUGAUUUAGGAAAAAAUAGGAGUUGAUUUGGAAUUUGAUGGAUAUCUAUCCAAGAAAGAAACUACUUUUAGAGGGCAAGAUAACUGGAGAUGAGCCCUAAUUUGAUUCAGAUGAAUCUAUUAGUUUUGAAAUAUAUACUGGUGAAGAUGAUAAUGAGGAAGAUGAGGUUGAACUACCUCUAAGAAGACAAAGAAAAGUAAGAAAAACAAAAUGAAAUAAAAGAAAGUUGUAUUUGAUCCUACAUGUUAGUUAAUAGUUUGGGAGACUGCUCUUGUUGUUGAAAGUGUUAAGCAUUUUAGAGAAGCUAUUACUAGAUAUGCUGUUUAAGAACAUGUUAAAUUAGAUAAAAUAUGUUAAUGAAGCAAGUAGGGUGAGGGUAAAGUAUACAACUGGUUGUCUAUGAUUGUUGUUUGGAAGUAUUGAUCCAAGAACAUGAGAUUUUGUGGUGAAGAAUUACAAUCCAGCACAUAAAUGCAAUAGCACAAGUAGAAAUAAAUUGGUGAAUUCAAAGUACUUAGUAGAAAGGUACAAGGACAGAAUAAUUUCUGAGCCUGACAUUGGAGUUUUUCAGUUUCAACUUUUAGUGAAGAAAGAGUUAAAUAUGUAUUUGGGGAGGACUGUAAUAAGGAAAGCUAGA